GGAGGCAGGUCUUGCCUGGUUGCCAUAGUAAUCUCCAGUGAGUUGCCUGGAGCUGAGAGCUUUCCUUGGGCCUGGGAUGUACACUCCAGGUGUCUGAACUGAUGUCUACCAAAAACGAGGAACAGAAUGAAGACCAAUCUGAGAGUGUCGUCAUCCCACAUAUCCAGGACCACCACUGCCUAGCCAUUCUGGCUUUCUGUUUUUUCUUUCCACUAGGCUACUUAGCCUAUCGCUCUUCUUGCAAGACAAGAACAUACAUAGAACAGAAGGAAUAUGAAAAGGCCAAAGCCACCUCCAGAUGCACCUUCGCUUUUGUCUUGAGCUCCAUCGCUGGAGGGUCCAUCAUCUUUUUCUGCUUAUUCUCCCGACUCUUCUUUAUGUGACCUCUGUCAAGGCCCAUGACAUGCCGAUCAGAUAUAUACAACAACGCACCCGAGCCUGUCUGCAGCUUUGGAUUCCCUGGAUACAUUCUCUUUAAUGUGUGAAGUGCCGAGCUGAUUGAGAUCAGAAAUAAAAUUU
rnacentral:lncRNA from 1 species